CUGAAUACAGGCUCAAAGCAGGCGACGGGACAGGAAUGAGAGGAUGGAUGCUGGCAGGGGCUUGGAGCUUCUGCGGGGCUUGGCGCCGCCGUCCGUGAGCACCCAGGCCGGGACCCCACAUCCCCAGGCCAGCCCUGACCCCGGCGGCCCCUCCGCCGGGAUUCCUUUCCGAGGUACUGGUGCCGGCCCAAGACCCGGGCAGCGCUUUGUCGUGUCCGCCCCUCAGUGAUCAGCUCCGGGUCCCCCUGCUCGGCCCCGCGCGCCCCAAGCGCAGUCCCCGGAAGUGCGCGCCGGGGCCCCAGCAAAGGUCCUGACUUUUUGGAAUGCCCUUCUUCCUCCUUGGCUGGCAAUCAAUCUUUGAGACUAGAAGUUAAGUCUCCUUUUGGGUGAAGCAUCAUUCUUCAGUUCCUACAGACCAUUUUGUUGCUCCCUGCCCUGCCCCAGGUUGGGGGAAAGCCUCAGCCUCAGCCUCAGCCUCCCCUCUCCCCUCCUUUUUUUUAAAAAAUAAAUAUGUAUCUCUUGCA
rnacentral:lncRNA from 1 species